rnacentral:ncRNA from 1 species
GGCACGUGUCGUUGGCUAAGCCCUCGCGGCGGACGAGCCGCGCGGGCCGCCUUGAAUUACAAUUUCCACCGGGCGGCGGACUGAAUCCUUUGCAGACGACUUAAAUACGCGACGGGGUAUUGUAAGUGGCAGAGUGGCCUUGCUGCCACGAUCCACUGAGAUUCAGCCCUUCGUCGCUCCGAUUCGU